UUUAAAGAAAAUGUGAGUUCAGUUAAAAUAAUACGGGAAUAAAACUCUGUUGAAACAUAUAUUUAAGACAUAAAAGACAUUGAUAAAUUGCUGUAUAUAAGUACCUAAUGUGCUUUAUAGAUUCAUAUUUAUUCCUUUGCAAUCGUUUACAGUAAUGAAACCUGAGGAAUCGGAAAACAAUCGAAGUAUGAACGAGUAUGAACCAGUUGUUGUAAAAGAAGUUGUAAAGGUAGACAAAGAAACAGUAGGACAAAUCUCUUCAUAUGACAACAUCCAGAUCAAAGGAAUAAGUGAACACAAUGGACAACAGAGACCCGACAGAGAAACAGCUGAAUAUGAGAAUUUAGUCAUUUUUAGAAAAUAGAUAUUUUAGAAUCAAUUGACGUUUUAUGUCUUGACGGUGCUUUAUAAUUGUGCUUUACUUUUGAUGGAAUAUUGUUAGAAUUUCAAAAUCAAUUUAAAUAGCUGUAAUGCGCAUCUUUCAUUUUUGACACUUUAUUUAACUUUCUUCUUAAUAUUUUCAUAUGAUCUUGAGUAAAAUUAACAGAAAAAGGCCACAUUACGGCGAUUAUAUGUUUGACACAGUAUUACUUGAUUGACUAUAAUAUAAAUUAACAU